UUUCAGUGAGAGGUGGCAGGCUGGUGAGCCUGUGGGAAACAGGUAAAGUUCAGGUCAAAGAUACACUGAAAGCUCAUUAUCCAAGCAAAUAUUGCAGUGGUUUUGGAGAGAAGUCUGACCAGGGACUAGUAAAUUUUUUAAUGAAAGAAGCAAAAUUUCCUGAAGGAAGAUUCAAAAACACAGAUCUCUACUUCUUGUUUAAUGUAGAACUUCCAAGCCAGAGAAUCAGGCCUUGCUAGGCCUGCCAUGAUAAUUACGCAAAGGCAGAGAGAGGCACAGCUCACAGGCUCCUGCUUUAUUCUCGUUAGUUGGUACUACCUGACACUGGGUUUGAGCAGUCACAUUCUGGACUUUCUGACUUGAAGUGUGGUGUGAUAGAAGUAGAUUGAAAUAUACCAGAAGCUUUCCAUUGUGAGUCAAUAUGUGGUGAUUCUGCUUGUGGAGUUGAGCAAACUUCACCAACCUCAUGGAAUCCUGAAGCCCUCUGGGAGAUGAUUCACAUCAAGUUCCCAACCAGUGAUUCUGCUGCUGCUGCUGCUAAGUUGCUUCAGUCAUGUCGGACUCUGUGCAACCUCAUAGACGGCAGCCUGCCAGGCUCCCCCAUCUCUGGGAUUCUCCAGGCAAGAACACUGGAGUGGGUUGCCAUUUCCUUCUUCAGUGCAUGAAAGUGAAAAGUGAAAAUGAAGCCGCUCAUUUGUGUCUGACUCUAAGUGACCCCGUGGACUGCAGCCUACCAGGCUCCUCCCCUGGGAUUUUCCAGGCAAGAAUACUGGAGUGGGUUGCCAUUGCCUUCUCCAACCAAUGAUUCUAGAGCAGGCUAUAUAAAUUUUCUGUCAUUUUGCUAUUCAAACUAAAUGUGUUUACUUGUUUUAAGACCUCUCAAAACUAAUUUCAUUGUAGUAUUUUCAAUGCAGUAUCCAGCAUAGCAUGGUGGUUCAGAGCAUGAGAUUUGGGACCCAGGACAUGAACUGUCAUCUCUAUGGAUAUCCUGUCAGCUUUGAGAUCUUAGGCAAGUUACUUCAUCUUUUUUGAGCCUCAGUUUUCUCAUUUAUAUAAUGAGAAUACAUUCUAAUUCAAAGAAUGUUACAAAGUUAAGUGUGAUGCAAAAUAAACAUUGUUUGGAAGGGAAUAAAUAAAAUUAUCAAAUG
ensembl:lncRNA